AAGAAUUGGGAGUUUUCUGCUGAUGAUGCUAUGCUAAGCUGGGCAGAGAGACCAUGGCGAAAAACGCCACAGCACUCCAACCUUCAGGAACCACCACGCUGAUCAGUCAGCAGCUGUCAACAUCGAGGAAAGACCUCCCACUAGCAAAAACAUUCCAACUCAAUGAAGGCUCAGAUAGCAUUUUUAACAAUGAAGUAUUUUUAAAUUAAGGUAUGUACAUUUCUAGACAUAAUGCUAUUGCAC
rnacentral:lncRNA from 1 species